GCGUAAAGCGCGCGCAGGCGGUUUCUUAAGUCUGAUGUGAAAGCCCCCGGCUCAACCGGGGAGGGUCAUUGGAAACUGGGAAACUUGAGUGCAGAAGAGGAGAGUGGAAUUCCACGUGUAGCGGUGAAAUGCGUAGAGAUGUGGAGGAACACCAGUGGCGAAGGCGACUCUCUGGUCUGUAACUGACGCUGAGGCGCGAAAGCGUGGGGAGCGAACAGGAUUAGAUACCCUGGUAGUCCACGCCGUAAACGAUGAGUGCUAAGUGUUAGAGGGUUUCCGCCCUUUAGUGCUGCAGCUAACGCAUUAAGCACUCCGCCUGGGGAGUACGGUCGCAAGACUGAAACUCAAAGGAAUUGACGGGGGCCCGCACAAGCGGUGGAGCAUGUGGUUUAAUUCGAAGCAACGCGAAGAACCUUACCAGGUCUUGACAUCCUUUGCCACUUCUAGAGAUAGAAGGUUCCCCUUCGGGGGACAAAGUGACAGGUGGUGCAUGGUUGUCGUCAGCUCGUGUCGUGAGAUGUUGGGUUAAGUCCCGCAACGAGCGCAACCCUUGAUCUUAGUUGCCAGCAUUCAGUUGGGCACUCUAAGGUGACUGCCGGUGACAAACC
rnacentral:rRNA from 2 species